UCUGUAUUUCAGCUGGAACUCACAUCACAGCUGCUCUGUUUACUUACCUACCGGCUGCGUGUCUCAGAACCAGUUUUGUUCCUCUUGAAAAGGAAGCCAGGCAGAGUUGGGAAAAUAUUUUCUUAGCCAGCUCCUUAGCACCGCUGUCUUAGGGAGACCAUCUGGCCAAGAUGCCCUUCAAGUAAGUAAACGCAGCACCACCCUCUCCCUGCCGGAGGAGGCUGCAGGGAGAAGAUGCAGGCUCCUGAGUGGACCGAGGCCGCGGCCUGUUAACCCACUUCCCUGAGCCCCUGGAGUCUGACAGUGCCCUCUGUGGGAAUAGGGUGGGGUGCUGAUUUCCAAGAUGAAGUCACUGACCCCAGAGUUAGGAAGAGAUGGGCAGUCGCUCUCCAUUCUAUACGAUUUUAACCAGGGGCCAUAAGCUGAAGAGCACAGAUACUAAUAAACUGUCGUGCACAUAACUAACAAGCGAUGAGUUUUGAGUAUUCAUGAACCUUUGUUUUUAUUGUGAGGUAAUGGUAAGUUUAUAUAAUUUAAUGUCAAAUGAUGUAUGCCUUUAACAGCCAGUUCACAAAGUUCUGGAAAAAUUUUAACAGUCAGCUCUUGUGAGCCAGCAUGGGCUGGUUCCAGAGCUCCAUGGCCACAGUCCCUCUUUUACUUAGAGUCAAAGAACGAAUGUGUCCAUAUGAAACCACUCCCUUCCGAAGCCAAAGCCACAUCACUACGGGAGGUUUAGAGAGGGCUCCAUUUCUUAAGGAGAGUCUGUCUUCAGAAGGCAGAGUGGACACCUGCUCAGGCAGGAACAGAGGUUGAAAAAUACUGUGCGUUUUUGUGGUUCUACCAACCACGUGUCCUUGACGGGAAUAGCUGGACACACAGGUGAGCAGGUCCCAUCUGGCCAGGCAGCUCCGAACUGUGUAAACUUCAGUUUAUAGUCAAAAUAACUUGAGAAUGUCUAGCUCUUCCCCAUUGACACCACUGUGCUUAAGAAGAGUGGCAAUUCUGGAGUCUCAGGCUCUCAGCUCUUUGCCAUAUUAGCUGGAAGGUUCUAGAAGGUCUGUGACUGUAAGAUUUUCCCUGAUUUUCUGAACUCUACCUGAUGGAAUUGGGAUACUUCUUGCUUCCCCAAAAGCCCUCUC
rnacentral:lncRNA from 1 species